UACGUAGGGGGCAAGCGUUGUCCGGAUUUACUGGGCGUAAAGAGCGUGUAGGCGGCCAAGCAGGUCCGUUGUGAAAACUCGAGGCUCAACCUCGAGACGUCGGUUGAAACCGUAUGGCUAGAGUCCGGAAGAGGAGAGUGGAAUUCCCGGUGUAGCGGUGAAAUGCGCAGAUAUCGGAAAGAACACCCGUGGCGAAGGCGGCUCUCUGGGACGGUACUGACGCUGAGACGCGAAAGCGUGGGGAGCGAACAGG
rnacentral:rRNA from 1 species